AUUGAACGCUGGCGGCAUGCCUAACACAUGCAAGUCGAACGGUAGCAGGCCCGCAAGGGUGCUGACGAGUGGCGGACGGGUGAGUAAUACAUAGGAAUCUGCCUGAUAGUGGGGGAUAACUUAGGGAAACUUAAGCUAAUACCGCAUAAGCCCUACGGGGGAAAGCAGGGGAUCGCAAGACCUUGCGCUAACAGAUGAGCCUAUGUCGGAUUAGCUAGUUGGUAGGGUAAAGGCCUACCAAGGCGACGAUCCGUAACUGGUUUGAGAGAACGACCAGUCACACUGGGACUGAGACACGGCCCAGACUCCUACGGGAGGCAGCAGUGGGGAAUAUUGGACAAUGGGGGCAACCCUGAUCCAGCAAUGCCGCGUGUGUGAAGAAGGCCUUCGGGUUGUAAAGCACUUUCGGUGGGGACGAAAAGCUUAAGGCUAAUAUCCUUGAGUAUUGACUUAACCCAAAGAAGAAGCACCCGGCUAACUCUGUGCCCAGCAGCCGCCGGUAAUACAGAGGGUGCGAGCGUUAAUCGGAAUUACUGGGCGUAAAGCGCGCGUAGGCGGUUUGGUAAGUUGGAUGUGAAAUCCCCGGGCUCAACCUGGGAACUGCAUUCAAUACUGCCUCACUAGAGUAUGGUAGAGGGAAGCGGAAUUCCACAUGUAGCGGUGAAAUGCGUAGAUAUGUGGAGGAACAUCAAUGGCGAAGGCAGCUUCCUGGACCAAUACUGACGCUGAGGCGCGAAAGCGUGGGUAGCAAACAGGAUUAGAUACCCUGGUAGUCCACGCCCUAAACGAUGAGAACUAGAUGUUGGGAAGUAUAUCUUCUUAGUGUCGCAGCUAACGCGUUAAGUUCUCCGCCUGGGGAGUACGGCCGCAAGGUUG
rnacentral:rRNA from 1 species